GACAGAGGGGGCAAGCGUUGCUCGGAAUUACUGGGCGUAAAGGGCGCGUAGGCGGUAUGGCAAGUCGGUCGUGAAAUCCUUCGGCUCAACCGAAGAACGUCGGCCGAUACUGCCGUUCUUGAGGGAUGCAGAGGAGAUUGGAAUUCCCGGUGUAGCGGUGAAAUGUGUAGAGAUCGGGAGGAACACCGGUGGCGAAGGCGGGUCUCUGGGCAUCUCCUGACGCUGAGGCGCGAAAGCGUGGGGAGCAAACGGG
rnacentral:rRNA from 1 species